rnacentral:rRNA from 1 species
CCUACGGGGGGCAGCAGUGAGGAAUAUUGGUCAAUGGGCGGGAGCCUGAACCAGCCAAGUCGCGUGAGGGAAGACGGUCCUAUGGAUUGUAAACCUCUUUAGGCGGGGAGCAAUGCCGGGCACGCGUGCCCGGAGGGAGAGGACCCGCAGAAGAAGCAGCGGCGAACUCCGUGCCAGCAGCCGCGGUAACACGGAGGAUGCGAGCGUUAUCCGGUUUUAUUUGGUUUAAAGGGUGCGUAGGCGGAGUGUUCAGUCAGCGGUAAACGGUCCGGGCUCAACCCGGGCCGGCCGUUGAAACUGGGGAUCUGGCGUGGGCGAGCAGUAUGCGGAAUGCGUGGUGUAGCGGUGAAAUGCAUAGAUAUCACGCAGAACUCCGAUUGCGAAGGCAGCAUACCGGCGCCCGACUGACGCUGCGGCACGAAAGCGUGGGGAUCGAACAGGAUUAGAUACCCCAGUAGUC